CAGCUCUCUGCCUCGCCAGCCCAGCACCCAGCCAGCCACCCACCCAACUAUCCAGCCAUCCACCCAGCCAUCCAUCCAGCCAGCGACGCCUGCCCUGCCCUGCCCAGAUCUGCCAACCUCCUGGAGUCAUCAGGGCUACAUGAAAACGAGUCGAGACAGAGGGCACUUGCGAAGACUGUUGAAAUUCACCCCAAACGGCAGUCUGUUGCUGGUAGAAAUAGAUAGAUUUCAGGUUUUCAGAGCUGUCACAGACAUAGCGGAGAUUAGGAGAGAGAGAGCGAAAGAGAGAGAUCAAGGUAGAGCUGAGAUGAGUCUGUUACCCCUGAGAGAGCGCAGUGAGGUGGAACCACUUCGCUCCAUCCCAACGGAAAACCACAUUCAGCGUCAGAAUGCCACCUGCUGGCUUGGUGGGGCGGGACAGCUGGUGUUGUGAAUCAGGCCGCCACAGUCCACGGACCGGCUACUUCCCAACACCAGGGUCUGACCUUCACCCCUCACCUCUCACCACACUUUUACAAAUUGUUUGGGCUAGACUUUGCAUUAGAUAUGCUAUAUUUAAAUGCAACAAAAAAUAAAUUGUUUAAUUUUUCUAUACUAUAUCACACCCCUCAACUCAUACAACACAACGAGUGACAAGUAUACACACAUGCACAAUAUAGCCAACCUUUGUUUCCUGAAUAAAUGAAUGCUUACAUUGCAAGAAAGUAUGUCUGUGCUUACAGCCUUGUAACUGCUCCUAUUUCCAUAAGAAAUCACAUUGUUGUAACUGUUUUGAAUUACUCUGCAUUUGCUGUGUUUUGAUCAAAAUGACUGUGCAUGUUUACCCAUU